GUCCCCGAGGAACUGGGUGGAGGCCACUAGCUUAUUUCAAAGACUUGCUCCCCGUCCUUACAGCGAGUGGGGACUCAAAAGAGAUGAGUCUCAGCACACUGCUUUCAGGGAGCAGGAGAUGGCUAAGUCUUAGCAACAUAACACACAUUCUUACUGCUUCAGUUGAGAAAGAAAACAGCAAGAAUGCAGGAUGUGCUCUCCAUGGCCAGCCGGCCAGCCAGCAAAGCAUGGCAGGAUUAUUAGAGGGCUGUGCACUUUUGGUGACCCCUCCUCUUUCCCCCACCCCACACAUGUGCUUUGUGAGGGGAUCUGGCACUCCUGACUUCAGAGCAUUUUUCCCUUCUGAGUUGCUCUGGCUCCUAUUAGAUGUGUGAAAUGCUGCUGCAGAAAUGCAGUGGAGCUAAAAACAGCAUCGAGGGAGCAGGCACUGAAAGGACGGAGCCUUUGGAAGAUUAAACAGUUUCUCUUUCAAAGCGAAAAGUGACUGACUGGGCUGAGCCUUGGUAGCCUGCCAGGAGUGUGCCAAGCUGCAAUGGGAAUAAGAGGCACCAACACAAAACUGUGAGCAGUGGCAGCCACCUGCUGUUUAUGCAAGGAUUCCCUGUGGGGAAAGGUCUCAGCAGGAUAUCACAAAGGGCUGAAUGCCCACACAAGGAGGAAGGAAAGGCUUGUGUCAGAGAACUCCUAGGGCCACUCUGCUCAAAAAGCUGCCGUGAGCUCGCCUAGUGUGGGGCUGGAGGGUGUCUUUGUUGUGCCCUCAAUACUUCUGGCAACAUCUAGCGCCUCUCCUUCUUCGCUUUGCUCACUUGUCUGUGGUUGAGGCUUCCAGUGAUCCCAGCAAACAGGCUUCCUCCCACUCCCUUUCCCCUCAACAAGGGAUUUUCCCAGGGGGAACUUAACAUCCAGCUGCUUCUCACUGGCCAUACAUCAUCCCCCUUCCCAUGUCUCAUAGCUGCUCACGCUAUUUAUGUUUAAACAAAGGAUUGGCACCCUCUUCUCCUGUUGGCUCCUUCAGGGAAAACUGACACCACAGUCAUUUCCAUACCCUAUGAGGUAACAAACAUAGGAUUAUGACCUCAGUGCAGUAUCAGAAAGAUGGAGAAGUUGGGCUGGGAGAUCUUAUCCAAUCAGCUUCCAUCUGGAACCAAUCCCCCUUUCUCUGAACCCAUUUACAUGAACAUUGUCUGAAAUUACAUCCCUCUCCUCCACUUUUAGACAAAGAAACUGUGAGCAUGACUGAAAAACUAUUAGAAAAGAGAAACACAACAGCUGACUGAGGGAUGAGUAGCAAAGGCUUAUUCUCCCCAUAGCUGAUACGGCACAGACAGGGAUUAGAAGAGUCACAUCUGCAGCACUCCAGAGAUCCACAAAUCCAUGAUCAGAAGGUAGCAAAGUAUAAGCACUUAGGGCAAGACUGUGCUGUAACCACUGCCUGUGUUGGAGUGGGAUAAGGAGGAGCUACAUUCCAGCGAUUGUGUGUCUGAGACAGACAAUGCUGGUGGGGGCGCACAGUCCUGAACAUCCCCCCUCUUUUGCAAGCAGCAGCAUAUGCUCUCCCUUUACAGGCCCAGUUCCACUGUCCUGUGCGUGGGGUACACCGGAAUCUGUAACAGUUUGCUCUAGAUUCCCCAGUCUUUGCACAGUAGGAACACAUGGACCAGGAUUGUGCCCGGCCCUGCACAGGGGUGCAAGAUGGAGAUGGUGAACGGUUCUCAACCACUGUCACCUGAAGUCAUUCAGGUAGGGACACCGAACAGUACGGCACAAGUAGCACAGAUUUCCCAGGUUACAUGCCUUUCUCUAGAGGCACCAGCUCUGGCAGUUAGGUAGAAUUUCAGGUCCACGCAGCCUUGGCUUCUCUACUGAGACUGACAACAAGAGGGCCAAUUAGUACUAACUGGGGUAAGCUCCAGAUGGAAAGAGAGUGAGAUUCACAGGCAAGAAAGCCAUAAAAAGCAGAUGCUUUAGGUAUAGGAGCCAGAUGUGCUCUGCACAGAGAGCUUUCUGCACCAUGUUCUGCACAGGUUGUAUUCUCCCUAGCAAGUCUCCCAUGCUCUGCCGCAUCACGCUGGGAGAACUUGAGAUGUCAAAGCUCCGGUGCCUGUGCAACUCCCUGGUUGCAGCCCAUUGAUCAAGGCUCUCUUAAAGAAAGUGGCCUGGGGAUAUCUGAGAAACCUAUUGAUCUCUCACUCGACUCCCUUCCUGCCUGUUUCUCAUUCACUUUCUGCCAUAACAAACCCACACUGCUGUGUUCAUCCCAGGGAUAGUCUUGCUGUGUCUUAAAGGGGCACAGUCAUAGCAAUGCAUCCUACUGGAUCAUUUCAUCUUCACCUGAUGCAGGGGGGAGCAUGUGUACUCCUGCUCAUGCCCACACAUACCAACUGUGGUCUGAGCCUGCUCCAAUGCAAAUCAUGCCAUGGAUCCCAACAGAAGCAGACUCAGAAUUAUUACCAGCUUUCUUCAUGUCACCUCUACAUAUUGUCCCCAGACAUCCCCUCUGGCUUAACCCAAGUGCUGAGCAGGCAGGAAGGUAUAAAUAUGUAAUACAAUUAAUUAAAAAUAAUACUUUCCCCCUCUAUAGAACCUGCUGCUCAAAGAUCUCAAAGCACCUGAACUAAAUAUUAACCAAUGCAGUCUCCCACCUCUCCAGUGAGGAUGGUCAGUGUCUUUACACUGAACCAAAUAAUAGGCCCACGGCCAUUGGAGACUAGAACCAGGGUCCUGACUCCCUGGCCUUUUGCUUUAACCAUUAGACUAUCUGCAGUCUCUAGUGCCCACCUCGUUUCCUGGCAGCAGGGGGGGGAGAAAUGUGUUAACAAUCUUUUGAAAGGGGUAAACACCAAGAAGAGAGAGGGGGCAUUACUUGGUGUGAUAUAAGGGAGUGGGGAGAACUAGGAAUAAUUAGAUGAAAUCAUUAAAAGGAAGGAAACUUAGUGUGAGUAUCCAGAUACACUUCUUCACAGUGAGCUCUUCAAGAAAUCAGAGCAAUCUCUCCAGGGAAACCCUGCUACUUGGGACUUGAAAAACUAGACUGGACAAAGCACUAGAAAAUGUACAGAAGGAAACAAUCCUGCACUGGCUGGGAGAUGGAGUGGAUGAUCUAAUAGAAUCACGGAAAUCAGAGAUCGGAAAGACCAAUGAACCUUUUAUAAUCUAAAUCCUCUGUCAAUUCUGCAUUUUUGAGCAGAAAGUCAAACAAUUAUGGAUUUCCUCUUUCCAGAAACUCCUGACUCUGUGGAGGUCACGUACCCUAAAACCAUUUUUCUCUCUUUUUGGAUUUUGCUUUUAAAAAUGUGUAUUGAUUGAAUUCUAUAUAAUAAUACAUUGUAUUUCCACAGGACUUUACGUAAGUUAACUAAUCAAUCCACAGAAUCCCCCUGCAAACCAGGUCAGUAUGAUCCUUAUUUUACAGAUGGGGAAAUUGAAGAACUGAGUGGAAAAGCAUGUCUUAACUCUCCCAGCAAGUCUGUGUCAAAACCAGGAGUAGAAACCAGGAAUCCUGGAUACCAGAUCUGUUUUCAGAUCACUCAACCAGUUGCCUCCUCCCUGGUGUAGAGUAUUAUAUGCACAUAUAUUAUAAUACAGUUGAGCUACCUUUAUAUUACAUAUCUAAAAUAUUACAGGUCCAGUCAUAGAUCCACUGAUGUCAGUAGCAAAACUCCCAUUGAUUUUCAUGAUGCAGUGCCAGUCCCUAUAAGAACAACAGUAAGGAACUCUGCCACUAAAGCUAUUCGGUAGUAUAAGACACAACAGCAAAUAAGUGUCAAUAACAUGAAAUAGCACAAGAAGAUACUUCAUUCUCUGCAAUACUGAAUGCAGAGGACCAGGUAUCAAGGGGGUCAACCCCUACCCCAAAAGUAGGUGCAUCCCUCUUAGAAACAGACUGAUGUAUCCUUCAGACUGCAUCACUUUCUAAGGCAAGGCCAUGGAGGGUCAGACAGUACAUUGGUCACACCCUCACAAAGUCAGUCACUGGAGAGCUAUGGUAGGAAGACAUCUAGCCCCAGACAUUACACAUCCAUCAAAGAACAGGCAAGGGUUUAAAAUCUAAUCUACAUUCCUAACAGCACUGGCUGCCAUCAGCCUGUCUCCCAAGAGAUGAGCAGCAGCACCCUACAACAAAGCAACACACCCUCCUGGCAAGAGCUUACAAUUCAUCACUGGCUCAUAAGAUGGUGUGGCUGGAAGUGAGCAGUGUGAAGUGCUGGCAUCCUUGGCUCAAGCGUGCUGGACCUGCACAGACGACUGCUGGCUGUUGUUCACUGGGGAUAGGCUGAAGCCGCUGUGCUUUGUCAGUGGCAGGCCAACUGCUGACGCUCCCCCAUGAACUCUGCCUGCGCCUCUCACUCCAGUGGAGUACCAGACUCAACGGGAGAGCGCUCGGCGGUCCAUUUAUCGCGUCUUCACUAGACACGAUGUAUCGACCCCCGCUGGAUCGAUCGCUCCUGAGAUACAUUCCUUGUUUGGAUUGAAACUUUAUAUUCUGCUCCCAGCCCAAGUGCAAAUAUUUUGUGAAAAUAUGAGGGAAAUCCCUUCAGCCAUAUUCAAGUAAGAACCAUGUGCUGUGCUGCUGAGAAGGGAAGGGCAUCAGCGUGUCUCCAUAUCUGCGUACACUAUACAGCAUCUCCAUGAGGCUUACAGUGCUUCAGAACGGAUGCAAACAGGAUUGACAGUGCCAUAGGAGUACAAGAGCUUCUGCAACCACAGGAACCCAGCCCCCCAUGGAUGUGUGAGCUCCCUCUCCCACCACACUGUACCUUGA